GCCGGGAUGGCGGAAUUGGCAGACGCAAGGGACUUAAAAUCCUUUGAGGGAUAACCUCGUGCGGGUUCGACUCCCGCUCCCGGCA
rnacentral:tRNA from 1 species